rnacentral:rRNA from 1 species
UUAUGCUAGAAAGAGCGUAUGGUGGAUGCCUUGGCACUAAGAGCCGAUGAAAGACGUGAUAAGCUGCGAAAAGCUUCGGGGAGGAGCAAAUAUCCAAUGAUCCGGAGAUAUCUGAAUGGGGAAACCCGGCGGAGCAAACCUCCGUCAUCUUAACGCCAAUACAUAACGUUAAGAAGGGAACCCGGUGAACUGAAACAUCUAAGUAGCCGGAGGAAGAGAAAGAAACAUCGAUUCUGUGAGUAGCGGCGAGCGAAAGCGGAAGAGCCCAAACCGGGAUGCGUGCAUUCCGGGGUUCGGACUGCGUAAGUGAUGAGUAAGCCUAGUAGAAUGGUUUUGGGAAAGCCAGCCAGAGAGGGUGAAAGCCCCGUACAUGAAAGGCGAGCGAGCACGGCAGGAUCCAGAGUACCACGAGACACGAGAAACCUUGUGGGAAUGAGCGGGGACCACCCCGUAAGGCUAAAUACUCCUUAGUGACCGAUAGCGCAUAGUACUGUGAAGGAAAGGUGAAAAGGACCCCGGGAGGGGAGUGAAAGAGAACCUGAAACCAUAUGUUUACAAGCUGUGGAACAUCUUUAUAUGAUGAACCGCGUACUUUUUGUAGAACGGUCCGGCGAGUUACGCUGGCUGGCGAGGUUAAGGACUGAAGGUCUGGAGCCGAAGGGAAACCAAGUCUGAAUAGGGCGUGAAGUCAGUCAGAGUAGACCCGAAACCGGGUGAUCUAUCCAUGUCCAGGUUGAAGUUGCCGUAAAAGGCAAUGGAGGACCGAACCCACAUCCGUUGAAAAGGGUGGGGAUGAGGUGUGGAUAGGGGAGAAAUUCCAAUCGAACCCGGAGAUAGCUGGUUCUCCUCGAAAUAGCUUUAGGGCUAGCCUCAUACGAGUCUUGCGGAGGUAGAGCACUGAAUUUCCUAGGGGGCGUCAAAGCUUACCGAAGAAUAUCAAACUCCGAAUGCCGCGUAGAUGAUGUAUGGGAGUCAGACUAUACGAGAUAAGUUGGAUAGUCGAAAGGGAAAGAGCCCAGACCACCAGCUAAGGUCCCAAAAUGUGUGUUAAGUGGAAAAGGAUGUGGGAUUUCGAAGACAACUAGGAUGUUGGCUCAGAAGCAGCCAUACAUUCAAAGAGUGCGUAAUAGCUCACUAGUCGAGAGGUCCUGCGCCGAAAAUGUCCGGGGCUGAAACACACUACCGAAGCUGUGGAAUUGAUCUGAUCAAUUGGUAGAGGAGCAUUCUUAAAGGGAAGAAGCUGUACCGGAAGGAGCAGUGGACUUUUAAGAAGAGAGAAUGCCGGAAUGAGUAGCGAGAGGAAGGUGGGAAUCCUUCCGGCCGAAUAUCUAAGGUUUCCAGAGUAAAGCUGAUCUGCUCUGGGUAAGUCGGGGCCUAAGGCGAGGUCGAAAGACGUAGUCGAUGGACAACAGGUUGAAAUUCCUGUACUAUGAUAUAACAGAACUGUGGGGACACGUGUGGAGAGCGGGAGCCGGGAAUGGAAAGCCCGGUGCAAGCGAGGUAGGAGAGGAGUUGGCAAAUCCGCUUCUCAAUCUGAAGACGUGAUGCGGACCGAACUGAGAGUAGGGAAGCCCGUGAGCCAUGCGUCAAGAAAAGCCGCUAUUGUUUAUAUCAUACCCGUACCGUAAACCGACACAGGUGGAUGAGGAGAGAAUCCUAAGGCCGACGGGAGAAGCAUUGUUAAGGAACUCGGCAAAAUGACUCCGUAACUUCGGGAGAAGGAGUGCCAGUGAGAACUGGCCGCAGAGAAUUGGCCCAAGCAACUGUUUAGCAAAAACACAGGUCUAUGCAAAACCGAAAGGUGAAGUAUAUGGGCUGACGCCUGCCCGGUGCUGGAAGGUUAAGGGGAGAGGUUAGCGUAAGCGAAGCUUUGAACUUAAGCCCCAGUAAACGGCGGCCGUAACUAUAACGGUCCUAAGGUAGCGAAAUUCCUUGUCGGGUAAGUUCCGACCCGCACGAAAGGCGUAAUGAUUUGGGCACUGUCUCGACAAUGCACCC